rnacentral:rRNA from 1 species
UGGGGAAUAUUGGACAAUGGGCGAAAGCCUGAUCCAGCCAUGCCGCAUGUGUGAAGAAGGUCUUCGGAUUGUAAAGCACUUUAAGUUGGGAGGAAGGGCAUUAACCUAAUACGUUAGUGUUUUGACGUUACCGACAGAAUAAGCACCGGCUAACUCUGUGCCAGCAGCCGCGGUAAUACAGAGGGUGCAAGCGUUAAUCGGAAUUACUGGGCGUAAAGCGCGCGUAGGUGGUUUGUUAAGUUGGAUGUGAAAGCCCCGGGCUCAACCUGGGAACUGUAUCCAAAACUGGCAAGCUAGAGUACGGUAGAGGGUGGUGGAAUUUCCUGUGUAGCGGUGAAAUGCGUAGAUAUAGGAAGGAACACCAGUGGCGAAGGCGACCACCUGGACUGAUACUGACACUGAGGUGCGAAAGCGUGGGGAGCAAACA